CAGGGAUUGAACCCUUGUCCUCAUGGAUACUGGUUGGGUUUGUUACAGUGGAGCCUCGAUUGGAACUCCUCUGAUUUUGAAAUGAGUGGUUCUGAAGAGAGCUUUGCCUAUCCUAAGAUUUGUAACAAUAUCAGUGUUGAAUAGGUAGCUUUAUUAUAAAAACAUAACAGCUUUUACACAGAAACAAUUUGAAACAUUGUAGGGAAAAAGCAAAUAGAAAAAAGCGUCUGCCUGGGAGGUCAAGGUGAGAGAAAGACAACAGUUUGUGUUAGAGAAAAAUGAUGCAUCUCUGGAGAAGAGGAGGGCAACCUGGGAGAGAGAAUUUCAAGAAAGGGGGGAGAUCAGCCUCAAAUCCUGCAGAGAGAGAAGACAGAGAAAAAAACCUUUUAUAUGGUGAAAGGUAAUCCCUGACCUCUAAGAAAGCAGUUUCAGUUGGCAGGAGCAAUCGGAAGGCACACUGCCAUGGGUUUAGGAGGGAUUGGCUAGUGAAGGAAAGGUGAGAAGUUUCACAGGAACAGGAGGAAAAUAUGGAAUGUUAGGAAAGGCAAUAGAGUCUUGUUUAAUAUUAGGAAACUUUGUAUGUUGGAAGCAAGAGAGAAAUGGGUAUGGAGGAAAUAAAGUGCUAAAGAGGGAAGAAUCAAGUAUAGAAUCCCUCUCCACCAGAGGCAGGGUUAGCUUUAGGAUGUUCUGGUAGGCUGAAUGAAUAGAUUUAUAGACAGAGGUCUGUUAGAAUUAGGGAGGAAAUGGAAGAAAGGCAGCUGAAGAGUACCAGCUCUUGCCAGUACCAGACACUUUGCUUGAUCUAUUAAAUAUAUGAUCAUGUAAAUUCAUAACAAUUCUUUGAAGGGUUUGUGAUAAUCUCCCAGUUUUAAAAGUGAGGAUGCUAAGGCUUCAAGGCAUAGUUAUCUUAAAACCAAAGAGCUAGUAAAUGUCCACUUCAGGAUUUGAUCCUCAGUCUUAUAUCAAAGGUUAGUCCCACCCCACUCUAGCAUUCGUUCAUUCAUAUGAGGUAAAGAAUAUGGGGGGCUUGAGAGGAGCUGUGUUACUGAUGACAGUGGCUAUGCCUCAGAAUCACUUUAGGGGCUUUAAAAAAUUCCCCACAGUUGGAGUUCCCAUUGUGGCUAAGUGGGUUAAGAACCCAGCUAGUACCCAUGAGGACGUGGGUUCAAUCUCUGGCCUUGUUCUGUGGGUUAAGGAUCCAGCGUUGCCAAGAGCCAAGUCAUAGGUCAUUGGUGGCUCAGAUCCCGAGUUGCUAUGGCUAUGGCGUAGGCUGGCAGCUGUAGCUCUUAUUCCACCCCUAGCCUGGGAAUGUCCAUACGCUGCAGGUGUGGCCCUAAGAAAGAAAAGAAAAAAAAAUUCUCACACCUUACCCCAUCACUCAUUCCUUCAUCAUCAACACGCUCAUUGAUUACCCACUGUAUUAGUCAAGACUCUCCGGAGAAACAGAACCAAUAGGGUGUAUAUCUCAGUGAGCUGAGAGCAUCUUCAAGUACCAAGAAGUAAGGAAGUACUUAACAGUGGGGGUGGGGGAAGGUGAGGAGCAUGUAAAAAGGAUGCAAGUGUCCAGUGGCCAAAGCUUGAACAACUUGAGUAAAAUAACUAUAGCAUUAGAUUUUGACCCAAAGAAUAAAUAUCCUGGGUCCUUAAUGGUAUAAAUAAGUGAUUGAAUAAGUGGGCAAGAAGAAACAAGUCUCCUACACAGAAGAUUUCUAAAAAAUGGGUAUUUAGAUACUCCCUCCUCCAGGAAAUGGAGAUUAAUUCCCCUCUCCUUGACAUGGGCUAGAUUUAGUGCUUACUUCCAAAGAACAGAGUAUGGAAAGGGGAAAAAAAAUAGUAAUAUAGCCAUAAUUAACUUGAGUAGUGUUAACAGGAAAUUUGAGGACAAUUGGGGAAGAUUACUUCUUUGACAACUUAAAUCCAUCAGAAUGAUUUGAGAAGUUUAGUAUAAGGAUGUUUAAUUUGGGAGUUCCCGUCAUGGCACAGUGGUUAACGAAUCCAACUAGGAAGCAUGAGGUUGCAGGUUUGCUCCCUGCUCUUGUUUAGUGGGUUAACGAUCUGGCGUUGCCAUGAUCUGUGGUGUAGGUUGCAGAUGCGGCUGGGAUCUGGCAUUGCUGUGGCUCUGGCGUAGACCAGGGGCUACAGCUCCGAUUCAGCCACUAGCCUGGGAACCUCCAUAUGCCAUGGAAGCAGCCCAAGAAAUAGCAAAAAGACAAAAAAAAAAAAAAA
rnacentral:lncRNA from 1 species